rnacentral:sRNA from 2 species
GGAUUGGGUUGGGUGAUUCGUACCCUCUAUACCACCAUGGCGCUGGUGGUGAUUGAGCUCUUUUGCCCUAGUGGCCUAAUAGAAACUAAUCUAAAAUAAGUAAUCAACUAACCCAAAAUAGUCAUUAUCACAUGAUGUGCAAUUAUCCUGUGAAGCAUCUGAGAAAAAACGGUUCCAGUUUGUUAGCAACACGGGAACGAUUUGCUCUAUACCUUGUGUAUGGGUGAGGAAAGCAAACCAACUCCAUCUAUUCAGCAUCUCUGUACCACCUUAGGACCUAGGGAAAUCAAUGUUCUCGCGAUGGUAUCAAUUUUUAUUUUCAUAUUCCCAUUUCUUAGAUAUGAAGUAUCACCUCAAAGUUGACUCAUUUUUUUUUGAACACGGGAAGGAUUUGCUAUUUACUUGAUUUCAACAAGAAAUAAAGUGACCAUUUUCAACAAGAUACAUCUAUAUUAAAUAUUGAUUUUCUUAAUAUAAAAAUUAUAUAUUUAUAUUCUUCUUCUCUUUAGCUAUAACCUAAGGUGGUUUACAAAUCUCAAAGAUAUAUGAUUGUUGUGUAAUUGAAAGUCAA